rnacentral:lncRNA from 1 species
AGUGCCGUAGCGGGUAGCAGAGGCAGCCUUCCCUUCCAGCAGCGAAGGCGGAAGACCCCGGGGCGCCAACCCUGGUGGCUGCCUGAUGUCUCCGCCCCAGAGAGGGCUGCACCGGGAGAUCGCCCGGGCGCCCGCUUCGGUCCCCUUCUGUCUCUCGGUUCCUCUUUCCUCCCAAGUAAGGGAAUAAGCGGCUAGGAGGGAGCGCCCCCGGCAAGCGCGCAACCAAGUGUUGCAUGGUGAGGUAAGACCGCGACCGCGAACCAGGGAUCACCAGUUUGGGGGGACCCGGCAGCAACUUGGAGAGCCAGGGCAAAGCAAGAGUGGGUCCCGCGAUAGGGAAAGGAACUGCAGACGAGGCCCCUGCGCUCAUCUUGACCGCGCCACCUGCCACAAACCCUGGCCAGAGGGGAUGCGCCAGUGGACUGGGCAGGGUGGGGCCCCCUCCCUAUGUGGUCGGUGCAGAAGCGAAGGUGUGCAGAGGACAAGCGGCCUUGCUUCGGGCAAUUUGCUGAAGCAACUGGUCAAAUGCCAUCCUUUCUUACGUUGACUCCAGGGUAUCCAGAGCGCGGCACAGGGAACCCGAGGGCUGCGGGGAGCAGAGAAUGUCUUUCUGCUGUCUGGCCGCCAGAGCCUCUGACAGUCUCGCAGGGUUCUGAGACUUUGGGACACUCCAAGUUCAAAGCCUCUAGGGUGGUGGGUUUAGAGAGAAGCUGAAGAGAAUACAGACACCUUGGCAAAUAAAAGGGGUAGCGUCGUGGGAAUCUAAUAUCGGCCUGUUUCUUUUGGGUCACAAGACCUGUCUGUGUUGGUAUCUCUAUAAGGGAACCUCCAGAAUUACCUGUGGGGCUGUGAGGCCGUGGGACAUACACGAGAACUCCUCAAGACCCCCGCACACAUAUCUCCUGAUGUCUCUUUCUUCAGAACUAGUGAACUAGAAUUUGAGGAGGGGGCUGUGGAGCUCGUAAAAGCCCUACAGGUGAUUCAGGGGCUCUGCCUCCAUCCCUGCUGUGGACAGGGAAGAAAAGCACCAUAUGCAAGCAGUCCCGUUGUGCAAUUCUGGGUAGCUAGGUAGCGGAGAGACCCCUCCCUCAGUCGCCGGGGGUGGGAGGAGGAGGGCACCAGGAGGGUCUGCUGAGGGGCCAGAUGACAUGUGACUGAACCACAGUGGCGUUCAAGAGUGCUGGGUGGACCUGCGGACUCACUUGUCCCGGCUGCUAGAUUAUCUGUCCGUGCCUCAUUAGCAUACGAUGGCCUCCCUGUGGGGAGCAGGACCUAGGAGAACUGUUUGUCAAGCUUUCGGUUCGGGGCCUUAGGGGACACAUCAUAGAUCUAGAGAUGUACAAUGACCACCUCCAAACAUCAUGAGGGACAGUAGUCUGCCCUUCUGGUCUGGAAGGGGACAUCGACUUUGUUAUCUUGGUGCCUGGGAUUCAGUGUUCAUAAAACGCAGCUUCAGGAUCCACUUGCUGGAGUACAGGGUAUCCCCACAGUCAACAAAGGACUGAAGGAGUGACAUUGGCUCACGGGGCAAACAUCAGAAAACAAAUGUGUGUGAGAACACACACACACACACACACACACACAGAGAGAGAGAGAGAGAGAGAGAGAGAGAGAGAGAGAGAGAGACUGUUUACAACUAUAACCUUCUCAGUCUAUGGGUGUCCCCUAACAUGGGAAGAUGUUUCUUGCUUAAAGGGUUGUAUUUGCCAGAAAUUUUACUUUGAAUAUAAAUUAUACUCAUUAAAUAAAACAGCUGCAACUAAGCUAAUUUCCUGUGGUGCUUCUGGUCUGAUCUAAGCGCCUCCCCACCCCCAUCCCUUUAACAUGUAACUCCAGCCACCUAGGCAUUACCGUUUCCGGGAAAGAUCUGAAGGUGGUGUGUGUAUGUGUCCCAUGUUUCUGUGUGUAUGUACAUGCCCCGCGCCUGUGUGUGCAUGUUCAAUAUCUGUGUGUAUGUAUCCCAUACUUCUCUCUAUGUGCAUGCCUCCCGAUUUGUAUACAUGUUGUGUGUGUGUACUCGCACAAGAGAGAGAGGGAGAAGGGGGGAGGGGAGAUCCUCUAUCACUUUCCACCUUAUUUUUAGAGACAGGGUCUCACUAAACAUGAAGCUGACUGAUUCAGCCAGACUGGCUGGGCACGAAGCCUGGGAACCCUCCUAUCUCUGCCUUCUCCGGGCUGAGCCACAGCUGCCUUGCCCUGCUUGGCACAUUGUGUGAGGACUGGAACUCAGACCUGCCAUGCCUAAGCCACAGAUAUUUGACUGAUGAGCCACCUCCCCAGCUCCCAUUCACUUGAUGUUUUUAUGUAGUCUCUUGUUCAGAUCAACCAAAAUUAUGAGGGGAAAAAAAAUAAACAUCUGAGCAGCUUGGAAUGUAGAGUCUCCUCCUGUGGAAGGUGGAAGAAACUCCUAUGACCCCAGCUUCUCAGCUGCCCACCACACACCUCACCAACAAGCGUCAAGGACCCCCAUCCCCCGCUCCACAUAUCCUGUCCCUCCUUGGGACCCAGCAGUUGUGAGACUUUGUGUCUGCCAAGGCUGGCCCCAGCUCCUCCCCUGGAAGGGAAAGGGGAAGUGCUGUUUCAUUGUGGGUAACAUUCUUUUUUUAAAAAUAUCAUAUUGUAUUACAACAUCAUGAUAGACUUCUAAUAUAAUAGUAGUUCCUGCCCAGUGCAGAAAAUUUGGGGAAUUAAAAGUAAGAAAAAAAAUUAUAUUGCCCAAGAUUCCUACCACUCAGACCCCACAUUUUUAAUACAUUGACAUAUUUCUCUUCUGUCUAUUUUUAUGCCUUGAAAUCAUACGCUCCAUAGAGGGCUAGCAUUUGUAGGUAACCUAAUAAAUGUACUUUGCGUGGUUUUAAUCAUUUUAUCUUCAUUAUGUCAUUUAGUCCUAGGAAGUCCCUCUGAGAUAGGUGUUAUUAUUAUCAACCCCGUUUUUCUAGGAUGGCACAGGUGACUCGCUCCAGUGGCAGAGCCGCAGUGCCAGCCCAGGUUUGCUGACUCUGAGGAACCAUCGCUGUUACCCUUCUCACCAGCAUCAUUUUGCAGCUGGGUAUUACUGUACCAUUAGCUAUUUAAGUUGCGUGCUCUCUUCAGCCACCUCAAAUAAGUUCGGGCAAAAUCUACCAUGCUCAUUUCCAGUUCCUUCUUUCAGGUAGAUACCCAGGAGAAUCACCAAGCCAGAGGCAUGACUAAUUGGGGGUUCCUUAUAGAUACACAAGCAGCCCCUGUUCCUUAGAGGUACAAAAGAGCUACACUGACUUACACUUCCGUUUCCCGGGAGGCAGCUCUACCACGGGCUAAGUAGGUAACUUUCAGCUACUCAAGAAUUGUUCACAAUGUCACAGGACAAAGCCACAAGUGUGACCAUCCCCAGCCUGGUGGGAGAAGCCACACCCUCAAAUAUGGAGGUGGAAACCAUUUCAUAUAAGACUAUAAUUAUUAAUUGCUGUUGUUUUCUCAGACAAGGUCUCACUAAUGUAGACUGGGCUAGCUUCAAAUUCCCUGCAAUCCUCCUGCCUCAGCCUCCCAAAUGAUGGGUUUACAGGCCUCUACAUCCAUGGUUAGCUUUAAAACUGUAUCUAUUUUUACACGAAUGACUGUGGGCUAUAUAACUCUUUGGCUGGGUAUCACGUAUUAACUUGGAAGACAUCAAACUAUUGUAUGAAAUAUAUGAAUGUAUAUAAUAUCCCACAUCUUCACACAACAAUUACAGUCAUCUUUACCCUUAUAAACAUACAUCACUAUCACAGCCAGGCUCAAUAGGCUCCUGUUAGUCUCUUAUAUUCAUCAUAGUCUGGCAAGACACAUAGAGCUAUUUGUUUAUAUCAAGUAUCAGAAUAUCACAAUAAAACCAACAGUACUUACAAGUAAUAAAGCUUGUCUAAUCAAACAACAGCAACACAGCCC